ACAAAAUAUUUUUCCUUCCUAGUUUCUUUCUCUCUCCAACUCUUGGAGUUCUUCUCUUGUUUUCUUCUAGUAAAGAAAGCAUUGGGUUCUAGUAGCGGUGUGGUGUGAAUGAAUUAGUGGGAUCCUACGUUGAAGCAUCAUGUGAACGUUUUAAGUAGCCGAAUUCCGACAAAGGCCAAUUCACACGAUCCUUCAGACCACCCGUAGCGUUGAUGGUCACUUGACGAGGAAAGGGAUGAUUUUUUCUUUUUCUAAUACAGCCUAGGCUUUCUCUUCCUCCCUUCCCCACAUUCUCUACAAAAGAAAAACCAUGGAGUAUGUGCAUUUUCCCUUCUUCGUGCAUCAUUCUUGUAAGGUGAUUGACCCCAUUGAAGCCAAUUCUCGAGAGGCGGGGCUUGGUUUGUGUGCCGUGAGAGGGGCUCAGCUUUGGAGUAUACGAUGGCCAAAUGCAGCUAAUGUCGUCCAGUUGAUUAGCCCUAUUUUGCUAGAUAGGAUGCCGAUUUGGUGAUGUUUCGUACAUCCCACUAGACACCUCCAUAACAUAAAAAGAGACUUAAUGAGGCAUCAAAAUUGACGAACGCCUAUAAAGAUACCUUGAAACCAAGAUCGGACCUUAAAGUAUUUAAGAUAUGAAGGAUAUUUGAAGGUCCUAGAGACCCUGAGCACAACAACAAGAGUGUCAGAAUACACUCACUUCAUAGUCUGCACAGUUUUGGUUCCUUGGACCACUUCCUGUCCUUAUCAGCUAGAUAUGUACGGCCUAUUGCUCUUGUUGGAUUAAAAUUAGAUCUAAGGGUGUACAUGAAAUCAUACAAUCCUCCAUACAACCAUCCGUGUACUUUUUCUCUCUUCAUGCUGGGGUACUCUGUGUGGUAUACUUAUAUUGCUUGUUGUACUAGGAUGAAUGGUUCAAUGAGAUGAUAAUUAGGAUGUACCUUCAUACCU